rnacentral:lncRNA from 1 species
GCAGCACCGUUACCUUCACGGUAAAUAUGCGUGGCCUGAAAGGCCCAUCCAUCCCUCGCCAUGGCCCAGAUGUCCCGGAGCAGGGGAUGGUCACACCCGCCACCCCUCGGACCCCCCUGGAUCCAACUAAUAACGGUGGCUGAGUCGUCCUCCAGGAUGAUAGACCUAGCCCGUAGGACGCAUCGGGCAUAGCGAACGCCCGCCCAGGCUGCACUCAGCUCCGCACAUGGAACCGAAGUAUCAAAUAACUGACU